UCACGGAAGCGUUUUUUACAAACUGCCACCGACUACGCGAGCAAUGUUCGCUGGUGGACGUCCGUGUUUUUUACUGUGACUAAAGAAGUGCGACCAAGGCAGUCCAUCGACAUGAAUUAGAAAGCACGGGAUAACAAAGCAGCAGCCUAUGAGCUACCGUUUAGGCUUUUGUUGGUUUUAAAGGUUCGUGGGAGAUUACGGGCGUGUAGGACCGGCGUUGGGGGUUUUCCAAAAUCCCCGCGUCUCCUCCUGGCAUCGGAAACGGUGCUUGCGGGGCCUGCUUCGCUCAGGAAUGAAGGAGGGUUGCUCGGGGGAAAACGUACUUGGGCGUGAGAGGUGAAAUUCUUAGACCGCCCAAAGACGAACUACAGCGAAGGCAUUUUCCAAGGAUACCUUCCUCAAUCAAGAACCAAAGUGUGGGG
rnacentral:rRNA from 1 species